rnacentral:rRNA from 1 species
UUGAACGCUGGCGGCAGGCCUAACACAUGCAAGUCGAACGGUAACAGGAAGCAGCUUGCUGCUUUGCUGACGAGUGGCGGACGGGUGAGUAAUGUCUGGGAAACUGCCUGAUGGAGGGGGAUAACUACUGGAAACGGUAGCUAAUACCGCAUAACGUCGCAAGACCAAAGAGGGGGACCUUAGGGCCUCUUGCCAUCGGAUGUGCCCAGAUGGGAUUAGCUAGUAGGUGGGGUAACGGCUCACCUAGGCGACGAUCCCUAGCUGGUCUGAGAGGAUGACCAGCCACACUGGAACUGAGACACGGUCCAGACUCCUACGGGAGGCAGCAGUGGGGAAUAUUGCACAAUGGGCGCAAGCCUGAUGCAGCCAUGCCGCGUGUAUGAAGAAGGCCUUCGGGUUGUAAAGUACUUUCAGCGGGGAGGAAGGGAGUAAAGUUAAUACCUUUGCUCAUUGACGUUACCCGCAGAAGAAGCACCGGCUAACUCCGUGCCAGCAGCCGCGGUAAUACGGAGGGUGCAAGCGUUAAUCGGAAUUACUGGGCGUAAAGCGCACGCAGGCGGUUUGUUAAGUCAGAUGUGAAAUCCCCGGGCUCAACCUGGGAACUGCAUCUGAUACUGGCAAGCUUGAGUCUCGUAGAGGGGGGUAGAAUUCCAGGUGUAGCGGUGAAAUGCGUAGAGAUCUGGAGGAAUACCGGUGGCGAAGGCGGCCCCCUGGACGAAGACUGACGCUCAGGUGCGAAAGCGUGGGGGGCAAACAGGAUUAGAUACCCUGGUAGUCCACGCCGUAAACGAUGUCGACUUGGAGGUUGUGCCCUUGAGGCGUGGCUUCCGGAGCUAACGCGUUAAGUCGACCGCCUGGGGAGUACGGCCGCAAGGUUAAAACUCAAAUGAAUUGACGGGGGCCCGCACAAGCGGUGGAGCAUGUGGUUUAAUUCGAUGCAACGCGAAGAACCUUACCUGGUCUUGACAUCCACGGAAGUUUUCAGAGAUGAGAAUGUGCCUUCGGGAACCGUGAGACAGGUGCUGCAUGGCUGUCGUCAGCUCGUGUUGUGAAAUGUUGGGUUAAGUCCCGCAACGAGCGCAACCCUUAUCCUUUGUUGCCAGCGGUCCGGCCGGGAACUCAAAGGAGACUGCCAGUGAUAAACUGGAGGAAGGUGGGGAUGACGUCAAGUCAUCAUGGCCCUUACGACCAGGGCUACACACGUGCUACAAUGGCGCAUACAAAGAGAAGCGACCUCGCGAGAGCAAGCGGACCUCAUAAAGUGCGUCGUAGUCCGGAUUGGAGUCUGCAACUCGACUCCAUGAAGUCGGAAUCGCUAGUAAUCGUGGAUCAGAAUGCCACGGUGAAUACGUUCCCGGGCCUUGUACACACCGCCCGUCACACCAUGGGAGUGGGUUGCAAAAGAAGUAGGUAGCUUAACCUUCGGGAGGGCGCUUACCACUUUGUGAUUCAUGACUGGGGUG